rnacentral:rRNA from 1 species
UACAGAGGGGGCAAGCGUUAUUCGGAAUUAUUGGGCGUAAAGGGCGCGUAGGCGGCCUGGCAAGUGGAUGGUGAAAUCCCUCGGCUUAACCGAGGAACUGCCAUCCAGACUGCUUGGCUUGAGACCGGGAGAGGUGAGUGGAAUUCCCGGUGUAGCGGUGAAAUGCGUAGAUAUUGGGAGGAACACCAGUGGCGAAGGCGGCUCACUGGACCGGUACUGACGCUGAGGCGCGAAAGCGUGGGGAGCAAGCAGG